rnacentral:rRNA from 1 species
AACGAACGCUGGCGGCAUGCCUAACACAUGCAAGUCGAACGAGACCUUCGGGUCUAGUGGCGCACGGGUGCGUAACGCGUGGGAACCUGCCCUUAGGUUCGGAAUAAAUCCCCGAAAGGGGUGCUAAUACCGGAUAAUGUCUUCGGACCAAAGAUUUAUCGCCUUUGGAUGGGCCCGCGUUGGAUUAGCUAGUUGGUAGGGUAAAAGCCUACCAAGGCGACGAUCCAUAGCUGGUCUGAGAGGAUGAUCAGCCACACUGGGACUGCGACACGGCCCAGACUCCUACGGGAGGCAGCAGUGGGGACUAUUGGACAAUGGGCGAAAGCCUGAUCCAGCUAUGCCGCGUGAGUGAUGAAGGCCUUAGUGUUGUAAAGCUCUUUUACCCGGGAUGAUAAUGACAGUACCGGGAGAAUAAGCUCCGGCUAACUCCGUG